AGAAAGACUCAACCUAUAUGUAGACAAGAACCACUCCAUGGGCUGGGAUCCCAUACUGAACAAAAAGAAGAGCACACGGUGAACACCAGCAUUCCCUUCUCUCUGCUUCCUGUGAAUGGAAUGAGCGAUGGGCUGUACAGUCAAACUGAGCUAAAGCCAUUGCACCAACAAUGAAAAUCACCACCCUGUCUUUUCAAGACAAUUGCUGUUAUCAUCAGUAUCCAUCGGCUCAGCUUUAACUCUCAUCCCUGCUUCUGAAUGGGGCAAAUCAUCGGGCAAAGAAGCCAAGCAAUUCUGAAUCAUUUCAAUGACUCGUUCCAGAUGUUUCUGAAACCUCUCAGCUGUUUCAAGGCGCUGGCGUUUCUGGACCUCCAUCAUGACUCUCAAAGUCUCUCUUGCUUGGUGGGGUCGAUAUUCAUUUAUAAGAUGAUGUACAUGUACAAAAAGUAGCUUAAGAUCUUCUAGCUUUUCUUCUCGUUUUAUACUCCCAGGACUUCUUAUUAAGAUGUCUAAAAGGUCUAAGAAAUUAAUCAGUAUAGACAUAUUGAGUUUUCUCAGCUCUUUCUUAUGAUCAAAUUGCAUAGGAUGAAGCCGUUCAAUGCCCUGACUUUCUAAAGGGCGAAUGAUAAGAUCAUCACAUUGGAACUGGUUGCCAAACAUCAUGUAGCUGUCUUUAAUUGGAGGAGGAGGCUUGGGAGCCAAGCCUUCCUGAAUAUUUUCAUCUGUAUAUUCCUUGAUGUACUGCAUUGGAGGCGGUGGAAGUGCACUCACUUGCUGUGGUUCACCCAUUGUAGACAAUCAAGAACCUAAAGAAACAGAGCACGAUUCAGAACAGAAUCAUGAACACCACCUUCCUCCUGCUGCCCCCAAUUAGUGACUUCAGAAUAUGUUCUUCCUUUUUCUGACAGUACACAGUCCAAGACAAGAUGAUCUUAGAUUUUAAAAUUAACAUUUACAGCAGUGAAUAGCUAUCAAUUAUGUUCUAAUUAAAUAUUAUGUUAACAUCC
rnacentral:lncRNA from 1 species